AUGGGCGUGUCCUUGUGGGCGUGGCCACGAGGGGGCGUGGCUCCCGCUGCCUUUAUUGCCCCCAGCUCAGGGUCGCAGCCAAUAAAUGCGGCUGAUGCAAAUGAGGAUGCAAAUGAGGAUGCAAAUGAGGAGGCGGGGCUGCGCCCCAAGGUCUCCCCGAGGCCAUCACCGAGGUCCCCAAGUGUCCCAAAAUGUCCCAAAAUGUCCCCAAAUGUCCCAAAGUGUCCCCAAGUGUCCCAAAGUGUCCCCAAAUGUCCUCUUUGUCUCCAAGUGUCCCCAAAAUGUCCCCAAGGUGUCCCCAGGUGUCACCAAGGGCCACCCCGGGUGUCCCCAUCACCCCACGUGUCCUUGUCCCAGCUGUCCCCAGUGUCCCCGAUGUCCCCAAUGUCCCCAAGCCCCCCAACGUCCCCAAG
rnacentral:lncRNA from 1 species